rnacentral:rRNA from 1 species
UACGUAGGGGGGCAAGCGUUGUCCGGAUUUAUUGGGCGUAAAGAGCGUGUAGGCGGCCAUACAGGUCAGCUGUGAAAACUCGAGGCUCAACCUCGAGACGUCGGUUGAAACCGUAUGGCUAGAGUCCGGAAGAGGAGAGUGGAAUUCCCCGGUGUAGCGGUGAAAUGCGCAGAUAUCGGGAAGAACACCCGUGGCGAAGGCGGCUCUCUGGGACGGUACUGACGCUGAGACGCGAAAGCGUGGGGGAGCGAACAGG